rnacentral:rRNA from 1 species
GACGAACCGUCCAAACGUUAUUCGGAAUUACUGGGCGUAAAGGGCGCGUAGGUGGCCUGUUAAGUCGAACGUGAAAUCCCCGGGCUCAACCCGGGAACUGCGUCCGAGACUGGCAGGCUCGAAUCCGGGAGAGGGAUGUGGAAUUCCAGGUGUAGCGGUGAAAUGCGUAGAUAUCUGGAGGAACACCGGUGGCGAAGGCGGCAUCCUGGACCGGUAUUGACGCUGAGGCGCGAAAGCCAGGGGAGCAAACGGG